UCCAUUUGGCUUCAAAGUGCUGUUCGUGCAGGUAGUUUUUGUAAUCGAUCUACUGCAUGGAUAGCACUUCACAAGCUUAUUGUG